ACGAACGCUGGCGGCGUGCUUAACACAUGCAAGUCGAACGGAAAGGCCCUGCUUUUGUGGGGUGCUCGAGUGGCGAACGGGUGAGUAACACGUGAGUAACCUGCCCUUGACUUUGGGAUAACUUCAGGAAACUGGGGCUAAUACCGGAUAGGAGCUCCUGCUGCAUGGUGGGGGUUGGAAAGUUUCGGCGGUUGGGGAUGGACUCGCGGCUUAUGAGCUUGUUGGUGGGGUAGUGGCUUACCAAGGCUGUGAGGGGUAGCCGGCCUGAGAGGGUGAACGGGCACAUUGGGUCUGAGAUACGGCCCAGACUCCUACUGGAGGCAGCAGUGGGGAAUAUUGCACAAGGGGCGGAAGGCUGAUGCAGCAACGCCUCGUGCGGGAUGACGGCCUUCGGGUUGUAAACCGCUUUCGCCUGUGACGAAGCGUGAGUGACGGUAAUGGGUAAAGAAGCACCGGCUAACUACGUG
rnacentral:rRNA from 1 species